rnacentral:tRNA from 1 species
GGGGAUGUAGCUCAGCUGGGAGAGCACCUGCUUUGCAAGCAGGGGGUCGGCGGUUCGAGUCCGCUCAUCUCCACCA